rnacentral:lncRNA from 1 species
AGUUUUCUAAGAAAGGUUUGUUGUGAUUAACAACGGAGAUUCCAAUUAUCAUAAAAUUAAAAAAAAAAAAAAACUUUACUUUAAAAAAUAAGAUAAAGAAAUUAUUUCGAUGAUCAGAUAUUUGGAGGAAACUCUGAAAAGGAACCCUGCUGUUUGUUGUCGAAAUGUGAGGGGAAAAGAAAUCCAUGCAGCCAAUGACCUGAGGGACCACGCUUGAUGGUUGCCCGCCCACCAAAUGUCUUAGUUAUAAAUGAUGGGUCCACCUGUGUUAAAGCAUCCGAACAUGCCUCCAAUAGUUCCAAUUUUCGUAUCUUUACCCUGAAGCAACUAUAGUAGUGGAUGUCCUAUUUAGUCCUUUUUGUGACCUUGCCAUAAUGUGCAAAAUCAAAUUACAAAACUUUCAUCCCAAAUCAACAAUAGCAAUGGCGAUAGAAAGAAGCAAUGGAUUUGGUUACAAGCCAUAUUUCAUAAACCCAUUAGCCAAUAAGAAUUAUAUCUUGCACCACAUGCACUAUGUCACUAGG